UAUGUGUCAUUUUUAAAUGGAGUCGAAACUCGAAGCUUACAGACUGAAAAAGCGUCGCCAAGCGAUGAUGGAGGGAGCAAAAAAUUCUUUGAAAGGUGCAUUAGCGUGGACCGAAAGAGCUGUUGACGUCAGACCCACGGAGAUUACAGGACAAGGAUGAUCUCGAGAGUAUAUGCUCGGAAGAGAGCAUAGAUAUAGCCCCGCCUGAGAAUCCAAUUCUCAAACAAGUGACUUACCUGCUGUAUUUUCUCCUAUGGGCGACAGUUUACGCGAUAGCCAUUCAGU
rnacentral:misc_RNA from 1 species